CUCACCUGUGAUGAGCAGAGGAGAAAAAGAUGGUCUUAAAAGCCUUGCUAAAGUUGAGAUAAACAAUAUCUACUGCUCUCCACUAACCCAGCAAGUCAUUCAUGUUGUUUUAGAAGGCUAUCAGAGCAGAAAUCAUUCUGCAAGAAUUGACACUAAUGAGAAACUUACAGCCUUCUCCUCAACCCUGUAAGCCUUCCUCUGCUGAGCAUGCAUGAAUGGAUAAAAACUGGACUCAGCAUUUCUCUUUGCACCGGUAGUUUUCAAGCUCUGUGAACCUUCAUCCAUUGUUAAGGGUAUAAAAGGACUAGAGAAAUAAGGUUGUAAGAGAUGACAGUGUAGACGUCUAGGUGAGAUGGUUAUCAGAGGUAACAAGGGAAAUAAAGGUCUGUCAGAAUUGCAGCAACUUGAGGUCACAGUUUGUCACUGUCAUAAACAACCUGAGACACCAUGAUGCCCUUGCAGUCCCCAGACAGAGAAUCCACAUCAAAGCCACCUCUCCUCUCAAUGAAAAUAUA